rnacentral:rRNA from 1 species
UGCGUAGGCAGGAGAUUAAGUCAGUGGUGAAAUCCUGCAGCUUAACUGUAGAACUGCCAUUGAUACUGGUUUCCUUGAGUAUAGUUGAAGUGGGCGGAAUGUAUAUUGUAGCGGUGAAAUGCUUAGAUAUUACACAGAACACCUAUUGCGAAGGCAGCUCACUAAACUAAUACUGACGCUGAGGCACGAAAGCGUGGGGAGCAAACAGGAUUAGAUACCCUGGUAGUCC